GUGAACCCGAUUACAUCGAUUUCUCAGACUUAUACAGUUUCAACAUCUCUCUAUUUGAUUUAAAUUGACUCUACAGAGAAGAAGAAGGGUAGGUCUGAACAGCAGCUGAGGAGGAGGAAUUGCAGCCAUACAAAGAAGAAGAAGAAGAACUACCAUCUCAAAUUUAACAACAACAAAAAAGAAUUUCACUCUUCUCCAAAUUUAAACCAUGUCAUGGAUGUUGCGAUCGUUAGCAAGGCUGCUAAUAGCAUUAAUGUCACAGCCAGCAGUGUGUUUUUCAACUUUACUGUAUUACAGUAAUCUUCUUCCGAGAAAUUUGAACUUGGAGAGACUGGUUCGACGAGAAUUGCUCUAUGAGGAUAGUUAUAUGUUUAACUUUAUCAUCAAUGUCUUGAGAUGUUUCUUGUAGAUAUAAUUAGUUAUUAAUUAGAUCUACUCUAUGGCAUUAGUUAGUUAGGAAUUUUGUUUCUCUGAAACCCAAUCUUGUUUCAGGAAGAAGACGACGACUGUAUAUUUUUCCAGCAAUCGGAGAGUUAUUAAUUAUAAAUAAAAUUGUGAGAUACAGGAAAUUAUAUAAA